UACGUAGGGGGCAAGCGUUGUCCGGAAUCAUUGGGCGUAAAGAGCUCGUAGGCGGUCUGUCACGUCGGCUGUGAAAACCCGGGGCUCAACCCCGGGCCUGCAGUCGAUACGGGCAGACUAGAGUGCGGUAGGGGAGACUGGAAUUCCUGGUGUAGCGGUGAAAUGCGCAGAUAUCAGGAGGAACACCGGUGGCGAAGGCGGGUCUCUGGGCCGUAACUGACGCUGAGGAGCGAAAGCGUGGGGAGCGAACAGG
rnacentral:rRNA from 1 species